GCCAUCCCAUCACGUGAAUGCAGCUACAACAUUAUAAAGACACCCUUUUCUGGCUGAAUUCUCUGCCUGCACAGGACCAGCACAGAAUCACACCGCUCCGAAGAAUCCACGCAGAAGGGAAGAGGUUCAGGGAAAGGAGUUAAAUAUAGGUUUCUCAGAUGCAGUACAGCUGAACCAACUGAGCUGUGAGUCAGACUUUACGAUAUUAUAGAAUAAACCUGUUUUGGAUUGCAGCCAUUGGACACGAGAAACUAGACACAACGGGGAAUGUACUUCCUGGAAAUAAACCAAGCAGUCUGGAAAAAGCGAGAGUUAUCCUAAUUUGAGUGCAAUCUUCAUACCAAACCUCAAGUCCUCUAUGGAUUCAGUGGUCUGCUUAAUUAUUCCCACUCUCACUUAGAUCUAAGGACCAUCUCAUGCCCUGCAAGAUUUGCUGGUAUUCAUCAAAAGUACGCAUGAGUCUCAGAAGCUGGUGUGGAGUUGCACUAUGACAAUUUUCAGUCAUCACUGUUUUCUGUACCGAGACAAUGAUACUCUAUGUCUGUGUUACGGAACGGGUUGGAAAGCAAGCCAGUAGUAUAAUGUCUCAUGCAGAGAGCAGUAUUAGUGUCCAAGAGGAAAGCAGUCACCUAAAUCAUUCCUCAGACUUGCACUAAUUUCAAAGAAACCUGCUCACUCAUCUUUCAGCUAGAAGCCAAAAGCUCUGCCAAAGCAUCAGGCAGCCCAGGCAGGUUUGGGAAAAGUGCAUAUGGUGCGGGGAAGUGGCCAGAAGUUGUUUGGGAACACGAGUGAUAAAAGACUGGAAAAGUAAACAAAGCCAUACUCCAACAAUUCAACAUUUUAUCAAAAUUCAGGUGAGAAUAAAAAGAAUUAACCAGACAAAUCCAUUGCAAUAUUGGCAUUUAGCACAAAACUAAAGUUUGGAAAUGGCAAAUAUGUCAUAAUUCCACAUUAAAUUCAAGGAAUUAAAUGCUUCAUUGAUCUAAGAAAACAUUCUCAUUCUUUCCAUCUAUGAGCCAUCUGUGGCAGAUUUGUAUUUACAGGGAGAGGGAUGAGGAGUAACACGCUACCAUGUCACCAACAUUCCUUCCUCACCAGAAAAGGAAUUAGAGAAUGAAUCUCAAUAUCUGCCAAAUGAACUAUCAGCUGAAUAUGUUUUUAAGGUGCUAUGCCACACAUUUCAGAGUUAUAAGCAAUGGAUGUGUAAAAGCUGUUCUUGCAUCACAAAAAAUUCACUUUAGAACAGUGAUAUGCAAGAUCUAGGCGAGUCAUGUAUUUAUGUACCUAUUGUUUGCUAUGUACUUAAAGAGGCAAUAGAUUGGUCGAACGGUGAUGUUUCUACUUGGCCCAGAAAAUCAAGAACGACUGUUAGAAAAUUUUGAGUUAGUUACUUGGACAAGUAACAUGAGACUGGGUAGCCUCCUCAGAUUAAGAGAAACCAACAAUACUUACAACACAUAAAAUAUAACU